rnacentral:tmRNA from 1 species
GGGGCUGAUUCUGGAUUCGACGGGAUUUGCGAAACCCAAGGUGCAUGCCGAGGGGCGGUUGGCCUCGUAAAAAGCCGCAAAAAAAUAGUCGCAAACGACGAAAACUACGCUUUAGCAGCUUAAUAACCUGCUUAGAGCCCUCUCUCCCUAGCCUCCGCUCUUAGGACGGGGAUCAAGAGAGGUCAAACCCAAAAGAGAUCGCGCGGAUGCCCUGCCUGGGGUUGAAGCGUUAAAACGAAUCAGGCUAGUCUGGUAGUGGCGUGUCCGUCCGCAGGUGCCAGGCGAUGUAAAGACAGACUAAGCAUGUAGUACCGAGGAUGUAGGAAUUUCGGACGCGGGUUCAACUCCCGCCAGCUCCACCA